AUUUCAGAUAAAAUAAAAAAGAGAGAGAAAUUCAGGACGCCUUCCAAGGUCUAAUAAAAAUUACCGUUCCUUAAGCACUAGACAUGGUCCUAAGGAUUGUCAGUGAUUAUUUCAUUGUCAUCAUCAAAACCCUACAAGAUAGAUUUUAGCCCCUCAUACAUCUAGUGAGUGACAGAGCAAUAAUUUGAAUGUUUUCAUGAUUCAAAACCUCACAAAUUCAUGUUCUACUAUAAAAUGGGUCUCAUGAUUGUAGAAUUUCAAAAGUUUCUUACAUAAACAAUAGUACUGUCAUCCUAUCAUAAAGGAAUGCUUGUAACAACUUCCAAAGGAAGUCUUUCUUCCUCUUCAAAACCCUAAAAAGGAAGAGUUAAGAUUCUCUGAUGCUGUAUGUAUUCUCUGAUUACGUAGUAAAUCUUCAUCCCACAUAUCCUAAUAAAACGAAUUACCUUCAUUCACCCUAAUUCCCAAUCCGAGGGAGCCCUACAGAAUUCCUUGGGAUUUGAACAGAACUAAUUCUAGAGUAACAACAAAUACACAUUAAGCUUCCAUAGCCUGACUAGCUUUUUGCCUUACCAAAUUUCAGCAGCUAGGGCUAGACAUUGUGGGACCCCACAACCCAAGAUUGCAAAGUGCUAAGAAGAGACUUCCUUCAUUUAGGCAGAAGGAAUUGACAAAGAUCUGAGGCAGAUUCUCUAUGGCUAAGAUGACUGAAUCACAACAUCUAGAUACCGCAUCCCAUUUCCAAGUUUAAUAACUAAUCCACUCAUAAGGCUGGAUCCAUAGGAGGGGUUUCCAUGGCAAUAAAAACCUGUUGCCAUAUUUCUUCAAGUUGUCAACCUCUAUAAUGAGAUGUCAACUGAUAUAAUCAGAUAUGAUAAUGCAAGUAUUAGAUAAUGCAAGUAUUAGAGGAAGGAAAUAAACAAGGAUACCUAGUCCAAAGGUAUCUGGAAUAAGUUGUCCAUUACUAUUGUUUAUAUACUUUUCUUUGUGAAUUUUAGGUUUGCAACACUUGCUGGUAUUUGUAAGAAGGAAUGUUCAAAUCACUGUUUUCCUUUUCAUAAUACCUUGCCACCUAAUGAAAACAGUAAAACUUACCAACACUGGCUAAUGAAAUUUUAGGGAAGUGACAAAUUGUAAUACACUGGAUUUUCUUAAACCAUAUUUUUCCCAGAGGCAGAAUGAAUAUGAGGACAAAGAAUUCUGAAUUACACUAUUAGCUUAUAUUAAGUAAGAAUUUGAAAUGUCCACCUUCAACUGAAAGACUACAAUAGCAAAAGUAACUACUUAUACAUAGCAGGUAGUCAAUAA